CAAGGCGGGUUCGCAGAUCUUCAGCGAGGGCGGGCUGGACUACCUGGGCAACCCGAGCCUGAUCCACGCGCAGAGCAUCCUCGCCAUCUGGGCCUGCCAGGUCGUGCUCAUGGGCGCCGUCGAGGGGUACCGCAUCGCCGGCGGCCCACUCGGCGAGGUCGUCGACCCGCUCUACCCCGGCGGCAGCUUCGACCCACUCGGCCUCGCCGACGACCCCGAGGCCUUCGCCGAGCUCAAGGUGAAGGAGCUCAAGAACGGCCGCCUUGCCAUGUUCUCCAUGUUCGGAUUCUUCGUCCAGGCCAUCGUCACCGGCAAGGGCCCGCUCGAGAACCUCGCCGACCACCUCGCCGACCCCGUCAACAACAACGCCUGGGCCUACGCCACCAACUUCGUGCCCGGCAAGUGAGGAGGUGUCCGGAUGCAUGUGAGCGCGCGCGCGCACUGGUUUCGGCUUGUACCAUGAUGUAAAUUACUGUACCAGGGUUCAAUCAAGAAGGAAUAACUGUGUUCAUUAUCUCGCGCCGCGUCUAAAUUUCUAAUACGGCUCAUUCUUUUCCUUUUUCAUUCAUCACUGUCGGUUUUAUUUGCGUGAAAAAUCAGGUGUUUGAUUAGAAGAGGGUCGCUGAAUUUACAAAUCAGACUUCAGACAUUUGCUUACCUGACUGAUGGACGCCGUGGGGUAGCACCCUAGCAGUCUAGCACCCAUGCUUCUAGUGAUCAUUACAGUGAGAAGAGUAAAAAGAUCCUGUUUUAGCUGCAUGCUGCAUUGUUGAUCCGUUGUGGGGAUUUUUUUUCGAUUAGUGUAGUCCAGCCAUUGAGCAACCGGUAUUCGACAUUGUCAGAAAACGGAGCUCUGACAGGAUACAAUUUAGUCCCAGUUGUUUUGUUUCUC
rnacentral:lncRNA from 1 species